GGGUUGUGAGGUUAAGCGACUAAGCGUACACGGUGGAUGCCCUGGCAGUCAGAGGCGAUGAAGGACGUGCUAAUCUGCGAUAAGCGUCGGUAAGGUGAUAUGAACCGUUAUAACCGGCGAUUUCCGAAUGGGGAAACCCAGUGUGAUUCGUCACACUAUCAUUAACUGAAUCCAUAGGUUAAUGAGGCGAACCGGGGGAACUGAAACAUCUAAGUACCCCGAGGAAAAGAAAUCAACCGAGAUUCCCCCAGUAGCGGCGAGCGAACGGGGAGCAGCCCAGAGCCUGAAUCAGUGUGUGUGUUAGUGGAAGCGUCUGGAAAGGCGCGCGAUACAGGGUGACAGCCCCGUACACAAAAAUGCACAUACUGUGAGCUCGAUGAGUAGGGCGGGACACGUGGUAUCCUGUCUGAAUAUGGGGGGACCAUCCUCCAAGGCUAAAUACUCCUGACUGACCGAUAGUGAACCAGUACCGUGAGGGAAAGGCGAAAAGAACCCCGGCGAGGGGAGUGAAAAAGAACCUGAAACCGUGUACGUACAAGCAGUGGGAGCACGCUUAGGCGUGUGACUGCGUACCUUUUGUAUAAUGGGUCAGCGACUUAUAUUCUGUAGCAAGGUUAACCGAAUAGGGGAGCCGAAGGGAAACCGAGUCUUAACUGGGCGUUAAGUUGCAGGGUAUAGACCCGAAACCCGGUGAUCUAGCCAUGGGCAGGUUGAAGGUUGGGUAACACUAACUGGAGGACCGAACCGACUAAUGUUGAAAAAUUAGCGGAUGACUUGUGGCUGGGGGUGAAAGGCCAAUCAAACCGGGAGAUAGCUGGUUCUCCCCGAAAGCUAUUUAGGUAGCGCCUCGUGAAUUCAUCUCCGGGGGUAGAGCACUGUUUCGGCAAGGGGGUCAUCCCGACUUACCAACCCGAUGCAAACUGCGAAUACCGGAGAAUGUUAUCACGGGAGACACACGGCGGGUGCUAACGUCCGUCGUGAAGAGGGAAACAACCCAGACCGCCAGCUAAGGUCCCAAAGUCAUGGUUAAGUGGGAAACGAUGUGGGAAGGCCCAGACAGCCAGGAUGUUGGCUUAGAAGCAGCCAUCAUUUAAAGAAAGCGUAAUAGCUCACUGGUCGAGUCGGCCUGCGCGGAAGAUGUAACGGGGCUAAACCAUGCACCGAAGCUGCGG
rnacentral:rRNA from 1 species